GCGGGUUACAACAUUAGAAACCAAUAUAAAAUGAACAUACUAGAAUAGUAAUAGUGCCUGAAAAUGGGGAGGAAAAACUGUUUCCUUAUUUAGCCAAAGGCCAGAGCAAAGAGGUCCAUCUCCUGCUUGAGAUGCCCAUAAGCCAUUGGUGGGCCACUGUGUAACGCAGGAUGCCGGACUAGGUGGCCUGUGGCUGAUCCAGCAGUGCUUCCCUUAUGUUCUUACACUGCAGGGGCCUCUACCCUUUGUCCUUUUGGAGACCACAGUCCCCUGGGGGCCAGCGUGCAGCCGGGUUGAGGGAGGAAAGGUGCCAGCUGUUGCCUCCUGGCGCAGGGGUGCUUUGGCCAUUGCCCCACGGCAAGAUCAACAGCCCUCCUUCUGCUGUUGCUCCUGGUCAAAACGCUACGUGGCUUCUGCUCCUUCUUGCAGGGAAUCCCCACCCAGCCUUCCUCAGGCUGCCCAUCCUGGGGAGGGGUGUGAGGAGAGGAGUCCAACCAGGAGCAGGAGCUGCCUGGGGGAGUAAGUGGCCGUUCACACAGGCUGCUACGCGAAAGAGGAAACGCGCCACCCGGCCCAAGGGGAGCACAGACUGGCGUCCCAUAGGCGGAGGCCGAUUUGGAAAGCGCAGCUCCCGUUCCAGUAGCUGGGAGGGGGCAGGGCACAGGCACAGGCAUGCUGCUUGCGCAGGGGCUGCGCAGGGCCAGUGGGCAACCCCAGGGCUGCUUCUCUCCUGCUCUUGGGCCUUUGCACCUGGGGGCGACUGUGAGGAAAGCAGNAAUGUCUGGAACCUGGGCGGAGGGAUUUCCUUUGCUGCUUCGUUUCUCAGCCCUGAAACAUUCAACGGCAAACACCAUUCAGGGUUUUACUUANACAGGCCGUUUUUCUGCAUGGGACGAGGAGCCCAAGAAGAGCAUCGUAAUGGACUUAUUCUGGCAGAAGCUGCUGGGGAACCAGAGACUCCUGUGGGAAUUCUCUGCCCGGGGAGUUGCUUGUUUCUGGUAAGGGAGGGGGACAAUGGCAAAGCCCCAGGGCGGCUAGCACAGUCCUUCGCUCCUGUGUGGAUUUNGAAGAGCCCAAGUCAGCCCCCACCCUUCUCCUCCCAUCCAGACGCUGAUCACAACACUCCUGUGAGGCAGGGUGAGGGCUGGGAUGCAGGACCUGCUCCAGACCAGCUGGGCAGAUUUCACGUCUGAGUGGGCAUUUGAACCCCGGGUCUUGGAGGUCCCAGCUCAGGCGCCUGGCUCUUCUGCUGUCCUUGCGGUCACUUUAUGUCUUGGCUUUCCCGUUUGCUUCUGCACUCUCAGUCCCCCGGGGGAAGUCUG
rnacentral:lncRNA from 1 species